GUCAAGUCAUCAUGGCCCUUAUGUCCAGGGCGACACACGUGCUACAAUGGCCGGUACAGAGGGAAGCGAGUUUGAGAGGAUGAGCGGAUCCCAGAAAGCCGGUCUCAGUUCGGAUUGAAGUCUGCAAUUCGACUUCAUGAAGCUGGAAUCGCUAGUAAUCGCAGAUCAGCCAAGCUGCGGUGAAUACGUUCCCGGGCCUU
rnacentral:rRNA from 1 species